rnacentral:lncRNA from 1 species
GGAAAGGCCUCACAUGAGGACACAGUGAGAAGGCAGUCAUCUACAAGUCAGGAAGAGAGCCUUCACCAGAAAUGGAAUUUGUUGGCAUGCUGAUCAUGGACUUCCAGCCUCCAGAACUGUGACAAGAUAAAUGUCUGUUUUUGGCUGGGCAUGGUGGCUCACACCUGUAAUCCCAGCAUUUUGGGAGGACGAGGGGUGACAUGGAAAGAGCCCCAGACCAGAGGCCAAGAGACCAGGUCCUAGUCUGGACUCUAUCAGCUUAGCGGAGUGAUAGAAGACGAAUCAAUCAAC